GAUGAACGCUGGCGGCGUGCCUAAUACAUGCAAGUCGAGCGAACAGACAAGGAGCUUGCUCCUUUGACGUUAGCGGCGGACGGGUGAGUAACACGUGGGUAACCUACCUAUAAGACUGGGAUAACUUCGGGAAACCGGAGCUAAUACCGGAUAAUAUUUCGAACCGCAUGGUUCGAUAGUGAAAGAUGGUUUUGCUAUCACUUAUAGAUGGACCCGCGCCGUAUUAGCUAGUUGGUAAGGUAACGGCUUACCAAGGCGACGAUACGUAGCCGACCUGAGAGGGGGAUCGGCCACACUGGAACUGAGACACGGUCCAGACUCCUACGGGAGGCAGCAGUAGGGAAUCUUCCGCAAUGGGCGAAAGCCUGACGGAGCAACGCCGCGUGAGUGAUGAAGGUCUUCGGAUCGUAAAACUCUGUUAUUAGGGAAGAACAUACGUGUAAGUAACUAUGCACGUCUUGACGGUACCUAAUCAGAAAGCCACGGCUAACUACGUGCCAGCAGCCGCCGUAAAAC
rnacentral:rRNA from 1 species